rnacentral:lncRNA from 1 species
UCCGAGAACCCCUUUUAAUAUUCGGUCAAACUUUUGAUGUGAUAUUUUUGCCAAAAAAUUUUGACAACUAAACACCACCGAAGAUUGAGAUCUACAGGUGGUGAAACUGUGAAUUCGAGCAAUAAUUGUGCUACAUGCAUCGGUCGUCUAUGCAUUAUUAUUAUUCCCUAGCUUCACAUACAUCCACGAAUCAUGCGUCGUUGUCGUCGUCGUCGUCGUCGUCAAGCUGAUGAUCCUGCGAUCGAUGCACUGCACCGGGCAUGUUCGCUGCUGCAUCCCACCCACACGCAACCAAGUGACCAGCCUCGAUGAACAUGCUCAUCACCAGCUGAAUCACUGGGCACAGUGCAGCACAUUCUGGGGGAUGAACGGAAGAAAUUUACGAUCUUUGAUAUCGCGGACUAACUUCUUGUGUGCGUGUUUAUUUCCGCCAUGUAUUCACAAUCUUUGCUUCCAUUAAUUCUCGAUGCAGCUAUGGGCCAUGGCUUGGCUGGCUGGAGAUGUCAAGAAGAAGAAGAAGCUGAAAAAUCAAGAAGGCUGGUCUAAUGGGUGGCCGUGGGUGGAGCGCUGCGGCCGGCGGCGAGGGCGCGGGCGGAGGAGGAGGGGAGGACGAAGCGGGAGGAGAAGGUGUAGCUGUAGUAGUAGAGCUGCGCGGCGGCGUCGGAGUCGUCCACCCCGCCG